AACGCACCUUGCGCUCCUUGGUAUUCCGAGGAGCAUGCCUGUUUGAGUGUCAUUAAUAUAUCAACCUCUACAGCUUUGUUUGUUGAGUGUUGGAUGUGGGGGUAUUCUGUUUGCUGGUCUUUCUUAUAAAGGUCAGCUCCCCUAAAAUACAUUAGCGGGACAAUUUGUUGACCGUUCAUUGGCGUGAUAACUAUCUAUGCUAUUAACGUGAAACAGGUUCAGCUUCUAAUGGUCUAUUGACUUGGACAAAUCUUUCAUUAAUGUGACCUCAAAUCAGGUAGGACUACCCGCUGAACUUAA
rnacentral:misc_RNA from 1 species